UUCUGAGGAGAUGGCAUGUUCUGCCCAUGUCUGGGAUUCUGGCUUCCUCCCACAGUCCAGGGUCCGGCAGAUGGGGCUGACUGGAGAUGUUCUUGAUUUGGUGUCGUGAGCAGAAGCCUCAGACGAGGAGAUCGGCCGUCUCUGAGCAGAACAGACACGGAUGAUAUUGAAGGCAUGUGGCAGAGGAGGCCAAAGAGUUCACAAUCCUUUCAACGCACAAAGAUGCUGAGAAGACCUCACGCUGCAGUUUGUGUCCUGCGGGUCGUGAUGACCCGACCUCGAGAGAGGCUGGAGGUAUCAAAGGAAACCGGCUCUUUACAUAGGAAGCUGUUGACAGUCGUCAUCCAUCAUGUGACAGAGGUGAUGUUCUGCACAUGGGCGAGUUUUAACCAUCACUGUUGAACUUCCACGUUGAAACUGCUCCGAGCGGAGAUGUCGGAUUGUUUUGAUACCGGAGC